CAAUCGAACCCGGAGAUAGCUGGUUCUCCCCGAAAUAGCUUUAGGGCUAGCGUCGCAGCGAGAGAGCCGUGAAGGUAGAGCACUGAAUAUGCGAUGGCCGCAUCCCGCGGUACUGAGCAUAAUCAAACUCCGAAUGUCACGGUGUCAUCUGCGGCAGUCAGACGGCGAGUGAUAAGGUCCGUCGUCAAGAGGGAAACAGCCCAGACCAUCAGCUAAGGUCCCAAAGUGCAUGCUAAGUGGAAAAGGAAGUGGAGACGUGCAGACAACUAGGAGGUUGGCUCAGAAGCAGCCAUCCUUCAAAGAGUGCGUAACAGCUCACUAGUCGAAUGACUCUGCGCCGAUAAUUUACCGGGGCUAAGCAUGACACCGAAGCUAUGGACAGGAAUGUGGUAGGGGAGCAUUGCAUGCAGCGGAGAAGCAUGACCGUAAGGGCAUGUGGAGCGCAUGGAAGAGAGAAUGCCGGCGUGAGUAGCGGCACGUGGGUGAGAAUCCCACGCACCGAUGGCCCAAGGUCUCCAGAGGAAGGCUCGUCCUCUCUGGGAUAGUCGGGACCUAAGGCGAGGCCGAAAGGCGUAGCCGAUGGACGACGGGUGGAUAUUCCCGUACCCGAUGUGUGGCGAUGGAGUGACGGAGAAGGCUCAGGCAACCAGCUGCUGGAAUAGCUGGGGCAAGCGAGAUACCUGCGCACCAGGGAAAUCCGGUGCGCACAGGGGGAAGGCGCGAAGCAUACGGAAAGCUGCGGCAAGUACGGAAAAGCUGAGAGCAGGCUUCCAGGAAAAGCUUCUAGCACAACACACAUCGGCCCGUACCGAAAAUGGACACACAUGGGCAAGGAGAGAAUCCUGAGGUGAGCGAGAGAACUAUAGCUAAGGAACUCUGCAAAAUGACCCCGUAACCUAGGGAGAAGGGGUGCUCCAGAAAUGGAGCCGCAGUAAAACGGCCCAAGCGACUGUUUACCAAAAACACAGCUCUCUGCGAAGGCGCAAGCCGAAGUAUAGGGGGUGACGCCUGCCCGGUGCUGGAAGGUCAAGGGGAGCUGUCAGCGCAAGCGAAGCAGCGAGCCGAAGCCCCAGUAAACGGCGGCCGUAACUAUAACGGUCCUAAGGUAGCGAAAUUCCUUGUCGGGCAAGUUCCGACCCGCACGAAAGGCGUAACGAUUUGGGCGCUGUCUCAGCUGUAGACUCGGUGAAGUCUUAGUACCUGUGAAGAUGCAGGUUGCCCGCGACUAGACGGAAAGACCCCAUGGAGCUUCACUGCAGGUUGACAUUGGGCUUGGAUGCAUGAUGUACAGGAUAGGUGGGAGGCUGUGAGCCGUGCGCGCCAGCGUACGGGGAGCCGCUGUUGGGAUACCACCCCUCAUGCAUCUAGGUCCUAACCGGAGGCAACGGGCCACGGGACAGUGUCAGUCGGGCAGUUUGACUGGGGCGGUCGCCUCCCAAAGAGUAACGGAGGCGCCCAAAGAUACCCUCAGCAUGGAUGGAAACCAUGCAUAGAGUGCAAAGGCAUAAGGGUGUCUGACUGCGAGACAUACAGGUCGAGCAGGGACGAAAGUCGGGCUUAGUGAUCCGGCGGAUCCGAAUGGAAGGGCCGUCGCUCAACGGAUAAAAGCUACCCUGGGGAUAACAGGCUGAUCUC
rnacentral:rRNA from 1 species